UGGAACAUGUACGUAAGGGC
rnacentral:miRNA from 1 species